UAGGGAAUCUUCGGCAAUGGACGGAAGUCUGACCGAGCAACGCCGCGUGAGUGAAGAAGGUUUUCGGAUCGUAAAGCUCUGUUGUAAGAGAAGAACGAGUGUGAGAGUGGAAGGUUCACACUGUGACGGUAUCUUACCAGAAAGGGACGGCUAACUACGUGCCAGCAGCCGCGGUAAUACGUAGGUCCCGAGCGUUGUCCGGGUUUAUUGGGCGUAAAGCGAGCGCAGGCGGUUAGAUAAGUCUGAAGUUAAAGGCUGUGGCUUAACCAUAGUACGCUUUGGAAACUGUUUAACUUGAGUGCAAGAGGGGAGAGUGGAAUUCCAUGUGUAGCGGUGAAAUGCGUAGAUAUAUGGAGGAACACCGGUGGCGAAAGCGGCUCUCUGGCUUGUAACUGACGCUGAGGCUCGAAAGCGUGGGGAGCAAACAGGAUUAGAUACCCUGGUAGUCCACGCCGUAAACGAUGAGUGCUAGGUGUUAGACCCUUUCCGGGGUUUAGUGCCGCAGCUAACGCAUUAAGCACUCCGCCUGGGGAGUACGACCGCAAGGUUG
rnacentral:rRNA from 1 species